rnacentral:rRNA from 1 species
CUCACCCACCAUACCGCUGUGGAAACGCCCGGUCCCAUUCCGAACCCGGAAGCUAAGCACAGCUGGGCUGAUGAUACUUGGAGGGCAGCCUCCCGGGAAAGUAGGUCGUGGGUGAGG